rnacentral:tRNA from 1 species
UCCAGGGUAGCCUAGUGGACAUGGCACCUGCCCUGUAAGCAGAAGGUUGUGGGUUCGAUUCCCGCCCUUGGAC